rnacentral:lncRNA from 1 species
CUGAAACAUUGUUAGUCAACUAGACUUCAAUAAAAUAUAUAUAUAUAUAUGUAUUUAAAAAAGAAGAAGAGAGAGGGCUAAGGAAGUGCCACACAGCAGACCCAGCUGACAGCCCCAUGGAGCUGCUUGGAAAAAACAGACUGGUUACCAUGACUUUGUGGGUAAGUUAGUGAUAGGUGGGCAAGGCCUGUAUUAGCUGCACCUUUGUGGGGCCCAGAAGUCCAGUGACUCGGGGUGAUGACUGCGACCAGUUAAGGCUGUCCCUCCUUGGACUCUGUGGCUGUGGAGAAGCUGGGGACCCCGUUGAAUCCCCACGGAGACUGGGCCGUAAGAACAUUCAUUCAUUCAUUCACUCAUUCAUUUGUCCCGUCAGAUAUUAAUUCGGUGCUCUCCUUCUGCCCCGUCCUUCAAGAGGUGCUGAACUUGCCUGAAGCUUGGUCUGCUGGCGUGAGAACAAUGUUGACGCUGGAGCAGGCUCCCAGGGACAGGAAAACCUCAUGCCCUCAAGUACCACCAUGUGAUUGAGAGCCUUGCGCAGUGAGGUUAAGGAGCCUCCACAGAGGUAAGGAGUCAACCUAAAAUGUACCCCAUAAAGCAGGCCUGUAGGUUUGAGUGUUGUCAAAAGCCAUGAAACUGUCCUCAAAAACAAUUCU